rnacentral:rRNA from 1 species
CAGCAGCCGCGGUAAUACGAAGGGUGCAAGCGUUAAUCGGAAUUACUGGGCGUAAAGCGUGCGUAGGCGGUGAGUUAAGUCUGCUGUGAAAUCCCCGGGCUCAACCUGGGAAUGGCAGUGGAUACUGGCUCGCUAGAGUGUGUCAGAGGAUGGUGGAAUUCCCGGUGUAGCGGUGAAAUGCGUAGAGAUCGGGAGGAACAUCAGUGGCGAAGGCGGCCAUCUGGGACAACACUGACGCUGAGGCACGAAAGCGUGGGGAGCAAACAGGAUUAGAUACCCGAGUAGUCCCUGUCUCUAAUAC